rnacentral:rRNA from 1 species
UACGGUUUUCGUAGGUGACCUGCGGAAGGACA